UACGAAGGGGGCUAGCGUUGUUCGGAUUUACUGGGCGUAAAGGGCGCGUAGGCGGCCACGACAAGUCAGUUGUGAAAUCUCUGGGCUUAACUCAGAACGGUCAACUGAUACUGUCGGGCUAGAGUGCAGAAGGGGCAACUGGAAUUCUCGGUGUAGCGGUGAAAUGCGUAGAUAUCGAGAGGAACACCUGCGGCGAAGGCGGGUUGCUGGGCUGACACUGACGCUGAGGCGCGAAAGCUAGGGGAGCGAACGGG
rnacentral:rRNA from 1 species